AUUGAACGCUGGCGGCGUGCUUAACACAUGCAAGUCGAUCGGUAACGCGGGGGCAACCCUGGCGACGAGAGGCGGACGGGUGAGGAACGCUUGGGAAUCUGCCUAUCAGCGGGGGACAACACGGGGAAACUCGUGCUAAUACCGCAUACGCUCUACGGAGGAAAGCCGGGGACCGCAAGGCCUGGCACUGAUAGAUGAGCCCAAGCCGGAUUAGCUAGUUGGCGGGGUAACGGCCCACCAAGGCGACGAUCCGUAGCUGGUCUGAGAGGACGAUCAGCCACACUGGAACUGAGACACGGUCCAGACUCCUACGGGAGGCAGCAGUGGGGAAUAUUGGACAAUGGGGGAAACCCUGAUCCAGCGACGCAGCGUGGGUGAAGAAGGCCUGCGGGUUGUAAAGCCCUUUCGGUAGGGACGAAAGCUCUCGACCUAACACGUCGGGAGGUUGACUUAACCUACAGAAGAAGCACCGGCUAACUCUGUGCCAGCCGCCGCAGUAAGAC
rnacentral:rRNA from 1 species